rnacentral:rRNA from 1 species
UACGUAGGGUGCGAGCGUUUGUCCGGAAUUAUUGGGCGUAAAGAGCUUGUAGGCGGUCUGUCGCGUCUGCUGUGAAAAUCCGGGGCUCAACCCCGGACUUGCAGUGGGUACGGGCAGACUAGAGUGUGGUAGGGGAGACUGGAAUUCCUGGUGUAGCGGUGAAAUGCGCAGAUAUCAGGAGGAACACCGAUGGCGAAGGCAGGUCUCUGGGCCACUACUGACGCUGAGAAGCGAAAGCAUGGGGGAGCGAACAGG